UACUGAAGUGAACCAAAAUAACAACUCUAUACUUGAAGAAAAUGCACAAUUUGAAGGAGAACAACACAUACAAGAAGAUAGUCAUGUUCAGUCUCAUACUUCUCUUGAAAGUGCAAGUGAAAGUUCAACUAAAGGUA